rnacentral:rRNA from 1 species
AUUGAACGCUGGUGGCAUGCCUUACACAUGCAAGUCGAACGGCAGCACGGGAGCAAUCCUGGUGGCGAGUGGCGAACGGGUGAGUAAAGUAUCGGAACGUGCCCAGUCGUGGGGGAUAACGUAGCGAAAGUUACGCUAAUACCGCAUACGGUCUAUGGAUGAAAGCGGGGGAUCGCAAGACCUCGCGCGAUUGGAGCGGCCGAUAUCAGAUUAGGUAGUUGGUGGGGUAAAGGCUCACCAGGCCGACGAUCUGUAGCUGGUCUGAGAGGACGACCAGCCACACUGGGACUGAGACACGGCCCAGACUCCUACGGGAGGCAGCAGUGGGGAAUUUUGGACAAUGGGCGAAAGCCUGAUCCAGCCAUGCCGCGUGCAGGAUGAAGGCCUUCGGGUUGUAAACUGCUUUUGUACGGAACGAAAAGGUUUGGCCUAAUAAGCUGAGCUCAUGACGGUACCGUAAGAAUAAGCACCGGCUAACUACGUGCCAGCAGCCGCAGUAA